UGGAGAGAGUAUUUUGGUGAUGUAGUUUCUAGAGCUCAUUUUCAUAUUGAUGACCCCAAUGCAUAUUAUUUUAAGAUUUUAACAGAAGCAUGCCAAGGUCAUUAGUCUAAAAGAAUCACACAACAUAAUAUUAUGCCAACAAAAAUUAUGAGAUAAAUUUUAAAAAAUAUUAACAUAUAAUCCUCCAUCCAAUUUUAAGUUUGACCAACUUUAUAUAAAAAAUAAUUAGUAUUUUAUUAUACAAAAUAAAUAUAUC
rnacentral:lncRNA from 1 species